rnacentral:rRNA from 1 species
CCUACGGGAGGCUGCAGUCGAGAAUCAUUCACAAUGGGGGAAACCCUGAUGGUGCGACGCCGCGUGGGGGAAUGAAGGUCUUCGGUUUGUAAACCCCUGUCAUGUGGGAGCAAAUUAAAAAGAUAGUAUCACAAGAGGAAGAGACGGCUAACUCUGUGACAGCAGCCGCGGUAAUACAGAGGUCUCAAGCGUUGUUCGGAAUCACUGGGCGUAAAGCGUGCGUAGGCUGUUUCGUGAGUCGUGUGCGAAAGGCGCGGGCUCAACCCGCGGACCGCAGAUGAUACUGGGAGACUAGAGUAAUGGAGGGGGAAGCGGAAUUCUCGGUGUAGCAGUGAAAUGCGUAGAUAUAGAGAGGAACACUCGAGGCGAAGGCGGGUUCCUGGACAUUAACUGACGCUGAGGCACGAAGGCCAGGGGAGCGAAAGGGAUUAGAUACCCCGGUAGUC